rnacentral:snRNA from 1 species
CUAUCUGGGGACCAUAUAUUAAAUAGAUUUUUGGAACAGGGAGAUGGAAUAGGGGCUUGCUCCGUCCACUCCACACAUCGACCUGGUAUUGCAGUACCUCCAGGAACGGUGCACCCCUU